UACGUAGGGGGCUAGCGUUGUCCGGAAUCAUUGGGCGUAAAGCGCGUGUAGGCGGUCCGGUAAGUCCGCUGUGAAAGUCGAGGGCUCAACCUCGAAUGCCGGUGGAUACUGUCGGGCUUGAGUACGGGAGAGGCGAGUGGAAUUCCCGGUGUAGCGGUGAAAUGCGCAGAUAUCGGGAAGAACACCCGUGGCGAAGGCGGCUCUCUGGGACGGUACUGACGCUGAGACGCGAAAGCGUGGGGAGCGAACAGG
rnacentral:rRNA from 1 species